rnacentral:rRNA from 1 species
UACGGUGGGGGUAAGCGUUGUUCGGAAUUACUGGGCGUAAAGGGCUCGUAGGCGGCCAACUAAGUCAUACGUGAAAUCCCUCAGCUUAACUGGGGAACUGCGUCUGAGACUGGAUGGCUUGAGUGCAGGAGAGGAACGCGGAAUUCCAGGUGUAGCGGUGAAAUGCGUAGAUAUCUGGAGGAACACCGGUGGCGAAGGCGGCGUUCUGGACUGCAACUGACACUGAGGAACGAAAGCCAGGGGAGCAAACGGG